AUUGAACGCUGGCGGCAGGCCUAACACAUGCAAGUCGAGCGGAUGAAGGGAGCUUGCUCCUGGAUUCAGCGGCGGACGGGUGAGUAAUGCCUAGGAAUCUGCCUGGUAGUGGGGGAUAACGUCCGGAAACGGGCGCUAAUACCGCAUACGUCCUGAGGGAGAAAGUGGGGGAUCUUCGGACCUCACGCUAUCAGAUGAGCCUAGGUCGGAUUAGCUAGUUGGUGGGGUAAAGGCCUACCAAGGCGACGAUCCGUAACUGGUCUGAGAGGAUGAUCAGUCAAACUGGAACUGGGACACGGUCCAGACUCCUACGGGAGGCAGCAGUGGGGAAUAUUGGACAAUGGGCGAAAGCCUGAUCCAGCCAUGCCGCGUGUGUGAAGAAGGUCUUCGGAUUGUAAAGCACUUUAAGUUGGGAGGAAGGGCAGUAAGUUAAUACCUUGCUGUUUUGACGUUACCAACAGAAUAAGCACCGGCUAACUUCGUG
rnacentral:rRNA from 1 species